rnacentral:rRNA from 1 species
GCCCUAGUAACGGCGAGUGAAGCGGCAACAGCUCAAAUUUGAAAUCUGGCGCAAGCCCGAGUUGUAAUUUGUAGAGGAUGCUUCUGGGCAGCGGCCGGUCUAAGUUCCUUGGAACAGGACGUCAUAGAGGGUGAGAAUCCCGUAUGCGACCGGCUUGCACCCGUCACGUAGCUCCUUCGACGAGUCGAGUUGUUUGGGAAUGCAGCUCUAAAUGGGAGGUAAAUUUCUUCUAACGCUAAAUACCGGCCAGAGACCGAUAGCGCACAAGUAGAGUGAUCGAAAGAUGAAAAGCACUUUGGAAAGAGAGUUAAAAAGCACGUGAAAUUGUUGAAAGGGAAGCCCAAGCAACCAGACUUGUCGGCGGUGUUCCGCCGGUCUUCUGACCGGUCUACUCGCCGCCGGCAGGCCAGCAUCACUUGGGAGCGCCGGAUAAAGGCGUGACGAAUGUAACCCCUCGGGGUUUUAUAGCAUCGCGGACAAUACGGCGCCUCCCGAGUGAGGUCCGCGCUUCGGCUAGGAUGCUGGCGUAAUGGUUGCGUGGGGCCCGUCUUGAAACACGGACCAAGGAGUCUAACAUCUAUGCGAGUGUUGGGGUGUCAAACCCCUACGCGAAAUGAAAGUGAACGGAGGUGGGAACCGCAAGGUGCACCAUCGACCGAUCCUGAUGUCUUCGGAUGGAUUUGAGUAAGAGCAUAGCUGUUGGGACCCGAAAGAUGGUGAACUAUGCCUGAAUAGGGUGAAGCCAGAGGAAACUCUGGUGGAGGCUCGCAGCGGUUCUGACGUGCA